rnacentral:rRNA from 1 species
AUGGCUCAGAUUGAACGCUGGCGGCAGGCCUAACACAUGCAAGUCGAACGGUAACAGGAAGAAGCUUGCUUCUUUGCUGACGAGUGGCGGACGGGUGAGUAAUGUCUGGGAAACUGCCUGAUGGAGGGGGAUAACUACUGGAAACGGUAGCUAAUACCGCAUAACGUCGCAAGACCAAAGAGGGGGACCUUCGGGCCUCUUGCCAUCGGAUGUGCCCAGAUGGGAUUAGCUAGUAGGUGGGGUAACGGCUCACCUAGGCGACGAUCCCUAGCUGGUCUGAGAGGAUGACCAGCCACACUGGAACUGAGACACGGUCCAGACUCCUACGGGAGGCAGCAGUGGGGAAUAUUGCACAAUGGGCGCAAGCCUGAUGCAGCCAUGCCGCGUGUAUGAAGAAGGCCUUCGGGUUGUAAAGUACUUUCAGCGGGGAGGAAGGGAGUAAAGUUAAUACCUUUGCUCAUUGACGUUACCCGCAGAAGAAGCACCGGCUAACUCCGUGCCAGCAGCCGCGGUAAUACGGAGGGAGCAACGCGUUAAUCGGAAUUACUGUGCGCAAAGCGCACGCAGGCGGUUUGUUAAGUCAGAUGUGAAAUCCCCGGGCUCAACCUGGGAACUGCAUCUGAUACUGGCAAGCUUGAGUCUCGUAGAGGGGGGUAGAAUUCCAGGUGUAGCGGUGAAAUGCGUAGAGAUCUGGAGGAAUACCGGUGGCGAAGGCGGCCCCCUGGACGAAGACUGACGCUCAGGUGCGAAAGCGUGGGGAGCAAACAGGAUUAGAUACCCUGGUAGUCCACGCCGUAAACGAUGUCGACUUGGAGGUUGUGCCCUUGAGGCGUGGCUUCCGGAGCUAACGCGUUAAGUCGACCGCCUGGGGAGUACGGCCGCAAGGUUAAAACUCAAAUGAAUUGACGGGGGCCCGCACAAGCGGUGGAGCAUGUGGUUUAAUUCGAUGCAACGCGAAGAACCUUACCUGGUCUUGACAUCCACGGAAGUUUUCAGAGAUGAGAAUGUGCCUUCGGGAACCGUGAGACAGGUGCUGCAUGGCUGUCGUCAGCUCGUGUUGUGAAAUGUUGGGUUAAGUCCCGCAACGAGCGCAACCCUUAUCCUUUGUUGCCAGCGGUCCGGCCGGGAACUCAAAGGAGACUGCCAGUGAUAAACUGGAGGAAGGUGGGGAUGACGUCAAGUCAUCAUGGCCCUUACGACCAGGGCUACACACGUGCUACAAUGGCGCAUACAAAGAGAAGCGACCUCGCGAGAGCAAGCGGACCUCAUAAAGUGCGUCGUAGUCCGGAUUGGAGUCUGCAACUCGACUCCAUGAAGUCGGAAUCGCUAGUAAUCGUGGAUCAGAAUGCCACGGUGAAUACGUUCCCGGGCCUUGUACACACCGCCCGUCACACCAUGGGAGUGGGUUGCAAAAGAAGUAGGUAGCUUAACCUUCGGGAGGGCGCUUACCACUUUGUGAUUCAUGACUGGGGUGAAGUCGUAACAAGGUAACCGUAGGGGAACCUGCGGU